CAGUAAGGAAUAUUGGUCAAUGGACGCAAGUCUGAACCAGCCAUGCCGCGUGGAGGAUGAAGGUCCUCUGGAUUGUAAACUUCUUUUAUUUGGGAAGAAACCCACGAUUUCUAUUGUGGUUGACGGUACCAGAUGAAUAAGCACCGGCUAACUCCGUGCCAGCAGCCGCGGUAAUACGGAGGGUGCAAGCGUUAUCCGGAUUCACUGGGUUUAAAGGGUGCGUAGGCGGGCAGGUAAGUCAGUGGUGAAAUCUCCGGGCUUAACCCGGAAACUGCCGUUGAUACUAUCUGUCUUGAAUAUAGUGGAGGUGAGCGGAAUAUGUCAUGUAGCGGUGAAAUGCUUAGAUAUGACAUAGAACACCCAUUGCGAAGGCAGCUCGCUACACUAUCAUUGACGCUGAGGCACGAAAGCGUGGGGAUCAAACAGGAUUAGA
rnacentral:rRNA from 1 species